GGAACACUUGAAAGUUGAAAUACAAGAGAAACCCAAGUGAGCGGGAGAUAUCGAUCGCGCGCAGCACACAAGCUUGCGAUAGUUGAUUUGAGAUAAAUGGUGCCUUCGGUAAGCAAACGCUUUUUGCCUCAAAACCGUGUUUGACACGAAUGUUUGUGGCGAUUGCAAUUGUUUGCGACAUUCUCAUUCUUGAUUAAUUCAAGAACGUUAUGAACAGCGGAUGGAAACUACGGUGACCCUCGGUGAAUUCUUUAUUUCGUAAUUUUGAAGUGGGAUGGUCCCUUGUAGCCUCGAUGACCCAAAAUUGAACUCGAUAUUGAAUUCAAGAUGAAUUCUUUAUUUCGUAUUUUUGAAUUGGGAUGGUCCCUUGAAGCCUCGAUGACCCAAAAUUGAACUCGAUAUUGAAUUCAAGAUGAAUUCUUUAUUGCGUAAUCUUAAGUUCGUUAUGGAUUCAGACCGAUCCUCGGUGACCCUAGCCUGAUGGCAACUAUAAUAUGAUUUUUUUUUUAUUCAUAAUUUUAAAGCGGGAAUGACCCUCGAUGACAACUUAAUGGCAAUAAUUUUAAAGCAGGAUGAAGCCUUGAUGACCCUGAAUUCAAUUGCAGUUUUAUAAUCCUGAUGGGAUGUUCGGCCCUUUAUGAUCCUAAAUGCGGUUUUUGAUUCAUUGUGUUGAAUGAGGAUGGUUGGCUCAAGCCUUGAUUAUGCCGAAAUAUAUUACAAUGUGAAUGGAAACAUGAAUCUACGCAUGUGCCUUGAAGGUCUGUCAUAUUUUUAAACUGGGACGAAAUGCAUUGUGCCUUAGUGAUUCUAAAUGCAACCUGUGCUUGAGUCUUUAACGAUGACAAAUACAAUUGUACAACGAAUCUGAGUGUAGUUCUUUUGAUGGCCCUAAUGCAAGUACAAUUUGAAUGCACACAUGAAUCUAAGGAUGUGCCUUGAUGGCCCUAAUGAUUAUAGUUGCCCACUAUGUGGACUGGUGGACGAAUCAGCCCAGCAUCUUUUUCUUUACUUGCUGGGUUUCUGAUAAGCAUUGGAAACUAUGUUACAGAUGGCUUGGAGUCCAAGUUGUGAUGCACCAUGAUGUGGAACAGAAUUUUUGGCAACACUCCAUUUGCCUCUUAGGGAAGAGAAAGGUCUGGCUUGGCAAAUUACUUGGGUUCCUAUUGUUUGGUGCUUAUGGAACUUGUGAAAUGAAAUUAUCUUCAGGGUUGCAAUUCUGGAUGUGGAGGAUCUUUUGUACACCAUUAAACUAAAGUUGUGGACUUGGUUGCAUACAAAA